rnacentral:lncRNA from 1 species
GUUUGCCUGGAGGCGUUGUUGCGCACGGCCUGUGGCUGGUGGACGAGGUUCACGUGGGUUUUGCUGUGAAGAGGUCUGUCCAGAAGUGGGGGUAGAGAAAGGGUGAUUUUUAUCGCCGAACAAGUCAUGUUGUUUUAAUCUCACCAGAAGUUUCAUCUAAUUUGAAAUAGAAAAAGGACCAAACACUACAGAUUGAAGCUGGGUGCCUGAUGGACACCUGCUCGUGUGCUUCUCUGUAAGUAUUUGCAUCGUCGCAGCUGCACGCACCCAUUUCGCUGAGACUCACUGUUGCCUCCAUGGGGUCCUGUCCUAUGGACGAUCCCUGUUUAGUUGGGAACUCGGUGCCAGGAGCUCAACUUGCUCCAAUGCUUCCCAUCCUACUAAGUUCUACACUGACUACAGUGGUAGGUAACGUCUGUUUUCCUGCAAUGCUUAAAUAUUGUUUCUACCUCCACCUUCGGCAGCUAUGUGGCAGACAUUUAAUCAUUGUUAGGCAAAAAAGACCUAAAGUUACUCUGUUAGCUACUGCACCCUGCCUGGAUUCCCCAGGCCACAUGUCUUAGAUAGCCCCACACAGCUUCAGAUAUUGUUAUUGCUUCUAUCCAUUCUGCUAAACUGAGCCAUGGUUAAUAAAAGAUGAGAA